AUUGAACGCUGGCGGCAGGCCUAACACAUGCAAGUCGAACGAGUGGCGGACGGGUGAGUAAUGUCUGGGAAACUUCCUGAUGGAGGGGGAUAACUACUGGAAACGGUCGCUACUCCCGCAUACCAUCGGAUGUGCCCAUAUGGGAUUAGCUAGUAGGUGGGGUAACGGCUCACCUAGGCGACGAUCCCUCGCUGGUCUGAGAGGAUGACCAGCAACACUGGAACUGAGACACGGUCCAGACUCCUACGGGAGGCAGAAGUGGGGAAUAUUGCACAAUGGGCGCAAGGCUGAUGCAGCCAGGCCGCGUGUAUGAAGAAGGCCUUCGGGUUGUAAAGUACUUUCAGCGGGGAGGCGUUAACCGAAGAAGAAGCACCGGCUAACUCCGUGCCAGCAGCCGCGGUAAUUC
rnacentral:rRNA from 1 species